UACGGAGGGUGCAAGCGUUGUUCGGAAUUACUGGGCGUAAAGCGCGUGUAGGUGGUUCGGUAAGUCGAAUGUGAAAGCCCCGGGCUCAACCCGGGAAGUGCAUCCGAAACUGCCGAACUAGAGUCCCGGAGAGGAAGGCAGAAUUCCCAAUGUAGGGGUGAAAUCCGUAGAGAUUGGGUGGAAUACCGGUGGCGAAGGCGGCCUUCUGGACGGUGACUGACACUCAGACGCGAAAGAGUGGGGAGCAAACAGG
rnacentral:rRNA from 1 species